UUUAUUUUUGCAGGGACAUCUUCCUUCAAAGAAGCUGAGUAUUGGUUGGUAGAGACAGAGAAGGCCUUUGCAACUAUUGUGAUAGUUCCCGAACAGAAGGUUGUACUUGUCACCUAUAUGCUUAUGGGUAAAGCAGGUCAAUGGUGGAAGUUGAAGCAGACCAUCAUGCCUAUUCUAAUCACUUGGGAAUAGUUCCUAGUAGCCUUCAAUGUAGAGUACCUCCCAGAGUAUCUUCGGCAUUUGAAAGAAAUAGAGUUUACACACCUGG
rnacentral:lncRNA from 1 species